rnacentral:rRNA from 1 species
CCUACGGGGGGCUGCAGUGGGGAAUAUUGGACAAUGGGCGAAAGCCUGAUCCAGCCAUGCCGCGUGUGUGAAGAAGGCCUUCGGGUUGUAAAGCACUUUCAGUGGGGAAGAAAGCCUUGGGGCUAAUACCCUCGAGGAAGGACAUCACCCACAGAAGAAGCACCGGCUAACUCCGUGCCAGCAGCCGCGGUAAUACGGAGGGUGCGAGCGUUAAUCGGGAAUUACUGGGCGUAAAGCGCGCGUAGGCGGUCUGAUAAGCCGGGUGUGAAAGCCCCGGGCUCAACCUGGGAACGGCAUCCGGACCGGCAGGGCUGAGGGGAGGGGAGGAAGGGAGAAUUCCCGGUGGUGCGGUGGAAUGGGGAGGGAUCGGGAGGAAUAACAGGGGGGAAGGCGGCCUUCUGGACUGAAACUGACGGUGAGGUGCGAAAGGGUGGGUAGGCAACAGGAUUAGAUACCCUAGUAGUC